UACGUAGGGGGCAAGCGUUGUCCGGAAUCAUUGGGCGUAAAGAGCGUGUAGGCGGCUCGGUAAGUCCGCUCUGAAAGCCCGGGGCUCAACCCCGGGUCUGCCGUGCCGACUGUCAAACUCGAGGGCUGUAGAGGCAGACGGAAUUCCGGGUGUAGCGGUGGAAUGCGUAGAGAUCCGGAGGAAGACCGGUGGCGAAGGCGGUCUGCUGGGCAGUUUCUGACACUGAAGCGCGAAAGCGUGGGGAGCGAACGGG
rnacentral:rRNA from 1 species